rnacentral:lncRNA from 1 species
CACAUGAGUAUGGCUGAUGGCUGUUUGAAGACAGGUGCAAACUAUGAAGGAGCAAACAAGCUAAUGGCUACAGUGAAAACAUUUAAAACCAGAUUUAACCUGAACAUUCCCCUCUUAUCAAAGACAUGGAGAGACUCCAGAAGUAAUUCACUGAAGAAAACUACCCCAUCCAGAAGAAAUACCCUAGGAUUUAACAACUGUCAUCUGAUGAGGACAUUUCUACUUCGACUGUUUUGGAGGUAGACUGUAACUACCUGAAAUGAGCCCCAGAGCUCCUGCUGUCCCAAAGCUACAAGUGCUGCUGGCUCUUUUCUUCCAUGACCAACUCUUGCCUCCACUGCCUGAUGCUUUAAAUGUACUAGGGAAGGCAGAUAUGGUGCUAACAUUGCAACUGCUCUUUGUGUACAGGAUCACUGCCUGGCCAAGACAUACCUAUCCUUUUCCAGGGACAACAAUCCACUGCAAACCAUCUUCAGUGAAGUAUUCUUUUCAUCUGCUUCUUUUCUCACCCUCCUAGGAUUUCAAGUAAAUCCACAGGUAUUUCAUGAUGCUGGCUUCCAGAGAACACAAGUAUUUCCCCAGAUAAUUAUCCUUUGGAAACUUCUGCACUAACUCCUUUUUAAAACAAAACAGGCAGAGCGGCAAGACUAUCAAGAGAAAGAAAGAAAGAUCAGAAAUGUUACAAGCUCAACAGCAAGGAACUAACAAAAUCAUGCAGGACGAGAAUUGAGGCUCUUUAUUUAUUUUUUCUCCUGAAUAAACUACUCACCAGAGCCA